UGGGGAAUAUUGGGCAAUGGACGCAAGUCUGACCCAGCAACGCCGCGUGAAGGAAGAAGGCUUUCGGGUUGUAAACUUCUUUUAAGGGGGAAGAGAAGAAGACGGUACCCCUUGAAUAAGCCACGGCUAACUACGUGCCAGCAGCCGCGGUAAUACGUAGGUGGCAAGCGUUAUCCGGAUUUACUGGGUGUAAAGGGCGUGUAGCCGGAGAAGCAAGUCAGAUGUGAAAAUCAUGGGCUCAACUCAUGAACUGCAUUUGAAACUGCAUCCCUUGAGUGUCGGAGAGGUAAUCGGAAUUCCUAGUGUAGCGGUGAAAUGCGUAGAUAUUAGGAAGAACACCGGUGGCGAAGGCGGAUUACUGGACGAUAACUGACGGUGAGACACGAAAGUGUGGGGAGCAAACAGGAUUAGAUACCCUGGUAGU
rnacentral:rRNA from 1 species